rnacentral:rRNA from 1 species
UCCUACGGGAGGCAGCAGUGGGGAAUUUUGGACAAUGGGCGAAAGCCUGAUCCAGCCAUGCCGCGUGUGUGAAGAAGGUCUUCGGAUUGUAAAGCACUUUAAGUUGGGAGGAAGGGCAGUUACCUAAUACGUAAUUGUUUUGACGUUACCGACAGAAUAAGCACCGGCUAACUCUGUGCCAGCACCCGCGGUAAUA